CACAGAGAGCUUGCUCUCGGGUGACGAGUGGCGGACGGGUGAGUAAUGUCUGGGAAACUGCCCGAUGGAGGGGGAUAACUACUGGAAACGGUAGCUAAUACCGCAUAACGUCUUCGGACCAAAGUGGGGGACCUUCGGGCCUCACACCAUCGGAUGUGCCCAGAUGGGAUUAGCUAGUAGGUGGGGUAACGGCUCACCUAGGCGACGAUCCCUAGCUGGUCUGAGAGGAUGACCAGCCACACUGGAACUGAGACACGGUCCAGACUCC
rnacentral:rRNA from 1 species